ACACAUGCAGUCGACGCUCUCUUCGGAGAGAGUGGCAGACGGGUGAGUAACGCGCGGGAACCUACCUAUCGGUUCGGAACAACAGUUAGAAAUGGCUGCUAAUACCGGAUACGCCCUUUGGGGGAAAGAUUUAUCGCCGAUAAAUGGGCCCGCGUUAGAUUAGCUAGUUGGUGAGGUAAUGGCUCACCAAGGCUACGAUCUAUAGCUGGUUUGAGAGGAUGAUCAGCCACACUGGGACUGAGACACGGCCCAGACUCCUACGGGGGGCAGCAGUGAGGAAUCUUGGACAAUGGGCGCAAGCCUGAUCCAGCCAUGCCGCGUGAGUGAAGAAGGCCUUAGGGUUGUAAAGCUCUUUCAACGGUGAAGAUAAUGACGGUAGCCGUAGAAGAAGCUCCGGCUAACUUCGUGCCAGCAGCCGCGGUAAUACGAAGGGAGCUAGCGUUGUUCGGAAUUACUGGGCGUAAAGCGCGCGUAGGCGGAUUUUUAAGUCAGGGGUGAAAUCCCGGAGCUCAACUCCGGAACUGCCUCUGAUACUGGAAAUCUAGAGAUUGGAAGAGGUGUGUGGAACUCCUAGUGUAGAGGUGGAAUUCGUAGAUAUUAGGAAGAACACCAGAGGCGAAGGCGACACACUGGUCCAAUACUGACGCUGAGGCGCGAAAGCGUGGGGGAGCAAACAGGAUUAG
rnacentral:rRNA from 1 species